rnacentral:rRNA from 1 species
GACGAACGCUGGCGGCGUGCUUAACACAUGCAAGUCGAACGAUGAAACCUAGCUUGCUAGGUCGAUUAGUGGCGAACGGGUGAGUAACACGUGACUAACCUGCCCCUUUCUCUGGGAUAACGCUCCGAAAGGAGUGCUAAUACCGGAUACUCACAUCGAGGCACAUGCCUUGGUGUGGAAAGUUUUUCGGAAAGGGAUGGAGUCGCGGCCUAUCAGCUUGUUGGUGAGGUAACGGCUCACCAAGGCGACGACGGGUAGCCGGCCUGAGGGGGGGACGGGCCACACUGGGACUGAGACACGGCCCAGACUCCUACGGGAGGCAGCAGUGGGGAAUAUUGCACAAUGGGCGCAAGCCUGAUUCAGCGACGCCGCGUGAGGGAUGAAGGUAUUCGGAUUGUAAACCUCUUUCAGUAGGGACGAAGCGAAAGUGACGGUACCUAAAGAAGAAGCACCGGCUAACUACGUGCCAGCCGCCGCCGUAA